rnacentral:rRNA from 1 species
CCUACGGGCGGCUGCAGUGGGGAAUAUUGGACAAUGGGCGAAAGCCUGAUCCAGCCAUGCCGCGUGUGUGAAGAAGGCCUUCGGGUUGUAAAGCACUUUCAGUGGGGAAGAAAGCCUUGGGGCUAAUACCCUCGAGGAAGGACAUCACCCACAGAAGAAGCACCGGCUAACUCCGUGCCAGCAGCCGCGGUAAUACGGAGGGUGCGAGCGUUAAUCGGAAUUACUGGGCGUAAAGCGCGCGUAGGCGGUCUGAUAAGCCGGUUGUGUAAGCCCCGGGCUCAACCUGGGAACGGCAUCCGGAACUGUCAGGCUAGAGUGCAGGAGAGGAAGGUAGAAUUCCCGGUGUAGCGGUGAAAUGCGUAGAGAUCGGGAGGAAUACCAGUGGCGAAGGCGGCCUUCUGGACUGACACUGACGCUGAGGUGCGAAAGCGUGGGUAGCAAACAGGAUUAGAUACCCGUGUAGUC